CCUACGGGUGGCUGCAGUGGGGAAUAUUGGGCAAUGGGCGCAAGCCUGACCCAGCAACGCCGCGUGAAGGAAGAAGGCUCUCGGGUUGUAAACUUCUUUUAUCAGGGACGAAGCGAGUGACGGUACCUGAUGAAUAAGCCAGGGCUAACUCCGUGCCAGCGGCCGGGGUAAUACGUAGGUGGCAAGCGUUAUCCGGAUUUACUGGGUGUAAAGGGCGUGUAGGCGGGCAAGCAAGUCAGAUGUGAAAACCAUGGGCUCAACCUGUGGCCUGCAUUUGAAACUGUUUGUCUUGAGUACUGGAGAGGCAGACGGAAUUCCUAGUGUAGCGGUGAAAUGCGUAGAUAUUAGGAGGAACACCAGUGGCGAAGGCGGUCUGCUGGACAGCAACUGACGCUGAGGCGCGAAAGCGUGGGGAGCAAACAGGAUUAGAUACCCUUGUAGUC
rnacentral:rRNA from 1 species